rnacentral:rRNA from 1 species
CCUGCCCUGUGACUCUAUGUUUAACGGCCGCGGUAUUUUAACCGUGCAAAGGUAGCGCAAUCACUUGUCUUUUAAAUAGAGACCUGUAUGAAUGGCAUUACGAGGGCUUAACUGUCUCCUUUUUCAAGUCAAUGAAAUUGAUCUCCCCGUGCAGAAGCGGGGAUGAGCCCAUAAGACGAGAAGACCCUGUGGAGCUUUAGACUAUGGCAGAUCAUGUUAAGUAACCCUCUACCGGCAAUAAACUAGAUGACCCCUGCCCCAUGUCUUCGGUUGGGGCGACCAUGGGGUAAAACAAAACCCCCACGCGGAUACGGGAGCACUCCCCCUUAAAGCAAGAGCCUCCGCUCUAAUAAGCAGAACUUCUGACCCAAUAGAUCCGGCGAAGCCGAUCAACGGACCAAGUUACCCCAGGGAUAACAGCGCAAUCCUCUUUUAGAGUCCAUAUCGACAAGAGGGUUUACGACCUCGAUGUUGGAUCAGGACAUCCUAAUGGUGCAGCCGCUAUUAAGGGUUCGUUUGUUCAACGAUUAAUGUCCUACGUGAUCU